UACGAACCGUCCAAACGUUAUUCGGAAUCACUGGGCUUAAAGAGUCCGUAGGCGGUUCAGAAAGUAGGGUGUGAAAUCCCACGGCUCAACCGUGGAACUGCGCUCUAAACUUCUGAACUUGAGGGAGCUAGAGGUAAGCGGAACUGAUGGUGGAGCGGUGAAAUGCGUUGAUAUCAUCAGGAACACCGGAGGCGAAGGCGGCUUACUGGGGCUUUUCUGACGCUGAGGGACGAAAGCUAGGGUAGCGAACGGG
rnacentral:rRNA from 1 species